CUCUACAAGAUUGACCCCAUGUCAGAUGCCAGAUGCCCUCUCUGUCCAGCUGACUACAACCUCGGGGUUCCUGCAGCCCCCUCAGGUUUGGUAGGGACUCAGCUCCUGUGCCCAGUGUGACCUCUGACCAUGGCAGCAUACAGAUGCCACUUGCCCUGGCCUGAUACAGGCUGUGGCACCCCGGGGUUCAGGCUCUACUUUCCUCGGCUGGACAAGGCCGAGGGGCCCUUGCUGCUGGCUCAGCAGCUGCCUCUGUGUGUCACCCACAACAGUGGCUACAGGUCGUCACAAGGCACACCAUCAAAAACGCUGGGAAAGCAAGAUUCCCUUCUGCCCCCGCCGUCCUUCCGCAUCCUGCUAACCCCUCCAUCUCACGAGGUUGGUGUGCAGCCCUAACCAGGGCCCGGGCCCGGGCUCUGGUGAGGCCUCCUCUGCCCCUGCAGAGCUGUGGGGGGAGGGGCCACAACAGGUGAUGGGGCUUGGGGGUAGGGGGAGGAUGUGAAUAUUCACACCUCUAUGUCAGUAAUUCUGGGCCUUUCCUGUGAACUGCCUUUAGAAAGCUGCCUGUCUCGUGAUCACUACUAGUACGCUCACUCUGGAUCUGUGCUGAGGACAACCCCUGCCCCACAGGGAGCCCUCUGCCCUAGCGGGAGCUCUGGAAAGCUCCAGUCCCCUGGGGGAGGCCCUAUCUGUGACCCCAGGUGGUGUGUAAAGGCCCUGGGCCCUCUGCCCGUGGGAGUGCCUCCUGGGUGUCCCAGAUCCAGGGAUGGGCUUCUUCAGGCACCUUCCUUGGCCCUCCCCUACCCCCACCCUGCACCCACCCCCCCGCUGCUAAGAAUAAACCACUUGCCUUGAGUCACUAGCCAUGAGUCAGCUUCAGGGACCCAGCCUGGGGCUGGCCAACCGGAGUGGCCCAGUGCUGUCUGACCAUCCCUGCUGCUGGUUCCCUGUAGCAGUCGAGCUCCCUAAGUGUGAAGAAUUUGGUCUCCAAGCUGUGCUCCCCCACUGGCCGGGACCUGGGCACCUCACAGGUGGCAGCGGAGGCUGGUGGCUUGGCCCUGAGCGCUCAGGCCCUCAAGGAGAUGGCCGUGAGCACCAAGAGCAUUGCCCUCAUCGCGGCCACCCGGCGCUCCAAAGCACAGGACCGCGAGGGUGGCGGUGGCCGCUCCUCCAUCCGCCUUCUGGAGGAGGUGGCCCCGGACUCCAGGGCCCCGAAGGCCAGCGUCACCCCAGACCCAAGCCCAGCAGACAGGAGGUGGCUCCCUUGCCAGCCCGGGCAGGGACUGUUCUACGGAGAGGAAGGCCAGGAGGAAGCGGUCACCCUCCCUCACCUGGAGCGUGCAGACGGCAGCAGAGCAUGGGGCUGAGAGCCAGCCGUCCCCAGCAGUCCUGCAGCUCACCAAGUCAUCUGGAAAGAGCUUCUUCCCUCCCGUCCCCGCGGCCUCCAAGAUAA
rnacentral:lncRNA from 1 species